UACGUAGGGGGGCAAGCGUUGUCCGGAUUUAUUGGGCGUAAAGAGCGUGUAGGCGGCUUUGCAAGUCCGUUGUGAAAACUCGAGGCUCAACCUCGAGACGCCGGUGGAAACUGCAAAGCUAGAGUCCGGAAGAGGAGAGUGGAAUUCCUGGUGUAGCGGUGAAAUGCGCAGAUAUCAGGAAGAACACCCGUGGCGAAGGCGGCUCUCUGGGACGGUACUGACGCUGAGACGCGAAAGCGUGGGGAGCAAACAGG
rnacentral:rRNA from 1 species